CGUAAGGACCGAGCGUUGUCCGGAAUCAUUGGGCGUAAAGGGUACGUAGGCGGUUUCUUAAGUUAGAAGUCAAAGGCUAUAGCUCAACUAUAGUAAGCUUUUAAAACUGGGGAACUUGAGAGAUGGAAGGGAAAGUGGAAUUCCUAGUGUAGCGGUGGAAUGCGCAGAUAUUAGGAAGAAUACCGGUGGCGAAGGCGACUUUCUGGCCAUUAUCUGACGCUGAGGUACGAAAGCGUGGGUAGCAAAACAGGAUU
rnacentral:rRNA from 1 species